AGAAUCAACGCUGGCGGCGUGCCUAACACAUGCAAGUCGAACGAGAAAGUGGAGCAAUCCAUGAGUAAAGUGGCGACCGGGUGAGUAACACGUGACUAACCUACCUUCGAGUGGGGGAUAACAUCGGGAAACCGAUGCUAAUACCGCAUAACAUCGCAAGAUCAAAGCAGCAAUGCGCUGGAAGAGGGGGUCGCGGCUGAUUAGCUAGUUGGCGGGUAACGGCCCACCAAGGCGAAGAUCGGUAGCCGGCCUGAGAGGGCGCACGGCCACACUGGAACUGAAACACGGUCCAGACUCCUACGGGAGGCAGCAGUGGGGAAUUUUGCGCAAUGGGGGAAACCCUGACGCAGCAACGCCGCGUGGAGGAUGAAGCCCCUUGGGUGUAAACUCCUUUCGACCAAGACGAUAAUGACGGUACUGGUGGAAGAAGCACCGGCUAACUCUGCGCCAGCAGCCGC
rnacentral:rRNA from 1 species